UACGGGGGGGGUAAGCGUUGUUCGGAAUUACUGGGCGUAAAGGGCUCGUAGGCGGCCAUCUAAGUCAGACGUGAAAUCCCUCAGCUUAACUGGGGAACUGCGUCUGAUACUGGAUGGCUUGGAUUCGGGAGAGGAAUGCGGAAUUCCAGGUGUAGCGGUGAAAUGCGUAGAUAUCUGGAGGAACACCGGUGGCGAAGGCGGCAUUCUGGACCGAUAUUGACGCUGAGGAGCGAAAGCCAGGGGAGCAAACGGG
rnacentral:rRNA from 1 species